UUCAUUUUAGGGGAGUUAAAAUGUAAGGUCUGCCCACUGAGAAAUUAAAGGGCCGCGGUAUUAUGACCGUGCAAAGGUAGCAUAAUCAUUAGUCUUUUGAUUGAAGAAUGGAAUGAAUGAUUUAACAGUGUAAUAUUAUAAAAAUUUGUAUAAAUUGAAUUUAAAUGUUAAGUGAAAAUUCUUAGAUUCUUUAUUUGGACGAUAAGACCCUAUAGAUCUUUAUUGAAUAUUUUAUCAGUAGAAAAUAUUUCUGUUUCAAUUUAAUUGGGGUGAUUAAUUAUAAUCUAAUGAGAAUAGCUUUAUAGCUCCUGCAUUGAGGAUAAAAAAGAUACCUUAGGGGUAACAGCGUAAUUUAAAAUUAGAGUUCUUAUCAUUUUUUAAUUUUGCGACCUCGAUGUUGAAUUAAAAGUUUUUAAUGGGGCAGGUUUUAUUAAAAAUAGUCUGUUCGACUAUUAAAUUUUUACA
rnacentral:rRNA from 1 species